GCCUGGCUGGCUCAGUUGGUAGAACAUGCGACUCUUGAUCUCCAAGUCGUGAGUUUGAGUCCCAUGUUGGGCA
rnacentral:tRNA from 1 species